rnacentral:lncRNA from 13 species
GGUUUUGAUCUGAAACAUCGAGAUGUGGGGUCACAACCAAGGAAACCAGCAUCCCUCUGGCUACAACGUGAACCCAAGCGGGUGCGAACCGCCAAUGCCAGGUGGGGGACAACCUGGCGGGUGCACCAUUGGUGCCAUCCUGACCCCAUUAUGCCCUCCCUACCAGCCCCCCUCCACUUGCUACCCUGUGCCACCAUCUUAUCCAGUACAGGGUCCCCAUGGAGGUCAUGGGCAUGGGCACGAUCAUGGGCACGGACCUCAUGGCCAUGAUCAUGGUCACGGGCACGGACAUCAUGGCCAUGAUCAUGGUCACGGUCACGGGCAUCGUGGAGGUCACGGUCAUGGAGGGCACGGUCAUGGAGGACACGGAGGGCACGGUCGCGGAGGGCAUGGUCAUGGGCAUGGUCAUGGUCAUGGGCACGGUCAUGGGCAUGGUCAUGGGCACGGUCAUGGAUGCAGGCACAGGCACAAGCAUGGGCAUUGGCAUGGGGGUUGUCACAAGAAAGGGAAGCAGAGUCAUGGGAGUUCAAGCAGCUCCUGCAGCAGUGACUCCGACUAG